AAGGUAGCGUGAUAAGUUGCCCUUUAAUUGGGGGCUUGUAUGAACGGACACACGAGGGUUUAGCUGUCUCUUUCAUAGACCUGAAAAUUAAUCUUUAGGUGAAAAAACCUAAAUAAACACAAAGGACAAAAAGACCCCAUAGAGCUUCGUUUCAAUUUAUUCUCUAAAAAAAAUUAUUUAUAAAUUUUUAUUUUAAUUAAUAGAAAAAACUUAACUGGGGCGGUUGAAGAAAAAAUAAACUUCUUUUCAACAGUAUUAAUUUACACAAAAAGAUUUAACAAAUCCUAACAUAUAUUUGAGCCUAAUAUUAUUUACAUGCUAAAUUCAGUCUACACCUUGUAAUUAAUAAGCAUAUUAAAAUUUAUUUUCUUAUAGAUACAUAUACAUAUAUAGAUCAAAGGAAAAGCUACCUUGGGGGUAACAGAUUUAUCCUUCUUGAGAGUCCAUAUUGACAGAAGGGUUUGGCACCUCGAU
rnacentral:rRNA from 1 species